rnacentral:rRNA from 1 species
AACGAACGCUGGCGGCAGGCCUAACACAUGCAAGUCGAGCGCCCCGCAAGGGGAGCGGCAGACGGGUGAGUAACGCGAGGGAAUCUACCCAUCUCUACGGGAUAACGCAUGGAAACGUGUGCUAAUACCGUAUACGUCCUUCGGGAGAAAGAUUUAUCGGAGAUGGAUGAGCCCGCGUUGGAUUAGCUAGUUGGGGGGGUAAAGGCCUACCAAGGCGACGAUCCAUAGCUGGUCUGCGAGGAUGAUCAGCCACGCUGGGACUGAGACACGGCCCAGACUCCUACGGGAGGCAGCAGUGGGGAAUAUUGGACAAUGGGCGCAAGCCUGAUCCAGCCAUGCCGCGUGAGUGAUGAAGGCCCUAGGGUUGUAAAGCUCUUUCACCGGUGAAGAUAAUGACGGUAACCGGAGAAGAAGCCCCGGCUAACUUCGUGCCAGCCGCCGCAGUAACAC